UGACUUUUGAAAUCGAAGACUUUAACACUUCUUGCAUGUCUAUGAAUUUUCUUCAUUAGAAUGCUGUAGUAGCUUAAAUUAGGUAAAUUAUCAACAAGUUUAAAAAAAAAUUAACGGAUCAGUUCAAGUUCUUUCUUGAAUUUGUGUAUUAUUAAUAUCUUAUGCAUCAUACAUGGAACUUCUGUUGUUCUUGAUUUCUAGGUAAACUGGGA
rnacentral:misc_RNA from 1 species